rnacentral:rRNA from 1 species
AUGAACGCUGGCGGCGUGCCUAAUGCAUGCAAGUCGAGCGAACAGACGAGGAGCUUGCUCCUCUGACGUUAGCGGCGGACGGGUGAGUAACACGUGGAUAACCUACCUAUAAGACUGGGAUAACUUCGGGAAACCGGAGCUAAUACCGGAUAAUAUAUUGAACCGCAUGGUUCAAUAGUGAAAGACGGUUUUGCUGUCACUUAUAGAUGGAUCCGCGCCGCAUUAGCUAGUUGGUAAGGUAACGGCUUACCAAGGCAACGAUGCGUAGCCGACCUGAGAGGGUGAUCGGCCACACUGGAACUGAGACACGGUCCAGACUCCUACGGGAGGCAGCAGUAGGGAAUCUUCCGCAAUGGGCGAAGGCCUGACGGAGCAACGCCGCGUGAGUGAUGAAGGUCUUCGGAUCGUAAAACUCUGUUAUUAGGGAAGAACAAAUGUGUAAGUAACUAUGCACGUCUUGACGGUACCUAAUCAGAAAGCCACGGCUAACUACGUG